GACGAACGCUGGCGGCGUGCUUAACACAUGCCAGUCGAACGGAAAGGCCCUGCUCUUGUGGGGUGCUCGUGUGGCGAACGGGUGAGUAUCACGCGAGUAACCUCCCCUUGACUUUGGGAUAACUUCAGGAAACUGGGGCUAUUACCGGAUAUAAGCUCCUGCUGCACGGUGGGUGUGGGAAAGUUUCGGCGGUUGGGGAUGGACUCGCGGGUUAUCAGCUUGUUGGUGGGGUAGUGGCUUACAAAGGCUUUGAGGGGUAGCCGGCCUGGGAGGGUGACCGGGCACAAUGGGACUGAGGUACGGCCCAGAGGCCUACGGGAGGCAGCGGUGGGGAACAUUGCGCAAUAGGCGGAAGCCUGAUACAGCGACGCCGCGUGCGGGAUGACGGCUUUCGGGGUAUAAACCGCUUUAGCCUGUGACGAAGAGUGAGUGACGGUAAUGAGUAAAGAAGCAACGGCUAACUACGUG
rnacentral:rRNA from 1 species